UUAGAUAGAUCUCUUGAGAUGUUUGC
rnacentral:piRNA from 1 species